AUAUUAACCUGGCAGAGGAUAUAUCAUGACCACAACGGUGGUUUUUCCAGGUGAGGCUUAUCCCUUGCACUCCCAAUGUGCUGACCCCUGAGAUUUCUCCAAAUAUGGGAAACUCGACUGCAUAAUUUGUUGUAUUGUGGGACUGCGUUUGUGUUCUCCCAUG